rnacentral:rRNA from 1 species
GACGGAGGAUGCAAGCGUUAUCCGGAAUUAUUGGGCGUAAAGCGUCCGCAGGUGGACAUACAAGUCUGCUGUCAAAGUGCAGAGCUUAACUCUGUAAAGGCGGUGGAAACUGUAGGUCUUGAGUAUGGUAGGGGUAGAGGGAAUUCCCGGUGUAGCGGUGAAAUGCGUAGAUAUCGGGAAGAACACCAGUGGCGAAAGCGCUCUACUGGGCCAUAACUGACACUGAGGGACGAAAGCUAGGGGAGCGAAAGGG